UGGGGAAUCUUGCGCAAUGGGCGAAAGCCUGACGCAGCAACGCCGCGUGAGGGAAGACGGUCUUAGGAUUGUAAACCUCUUUCAGUAGGGACGAAAUUGACGGUACCUACAGAAGAAGCUCCGGCUAACUACGUGCCAGCAGCCGCGGUAAUACGUAGGGGGCAAGCGUUGUCCGGAAUCAUUGGGCGUAAAGCGCGUGUAGGCGGCUCGGGUAGUCUGGUGUGAAAUCUUUCGGCUCAACCGGAAGCGGUCACUGGAUACUCUCGGGCUUGAGUCCGGAAGAGGAGAGUGGAAUUCCUGGUGUAGCGGUGGAAUGCGCAGAUAUCAGGAGGAACACCAAUGGCGAAGGCAGCUCUCUGGUACGUGACUGACGCUGAGACGCGAAAGCGUGGGGAGCGAACAGG
rnacentral:rRNA from 1 species